GCCGGCCUAGCUCAAUUGGUAGAGCAACUGACUUGUAAUCAGUGGGUUGGGGGUUCAAGUCCUCUGGCCGGCACCA
rnacentral:tRNA from 3 species